rnacentral:lncRNA from 1 species
ACAUUUCAGCACAUCCUAUUUGUGAAUAUGUGUUCAUCAGUAGCAGGAACAUCACAUAGGAAGAAGUGAGAUGUCGGUGCAAACUGAAAUGAUAGAGACAUAUACAUUUAAGUUGUCAUUGUUCCAUGAACAACAACCUAUCACACUUCAUUAGCAUCUACUUCAUGCUUGGAAUGUUUGCUCAGUCCUCAAAAUUGAAACUUUGGACUUCAUAAAUUGGGCAAAACAAUGAUAUUGAUGUCAGCCUAUUAGAUUAGGUAUUUAGUUUGUAUCGAAACUCAUGUCUUGUUCGCUAUUCCUCAUUCCUUUAAAUCUCCAAUCAUGAGCACAGGACUGUGAUUGAAAUUACCAUAGUGAUAUGUGUUUCUUACCAUAUGACAUAAGGAGGAGUGAGAUGUUGGCGAAGUUGAAAUAAUAGAGACACUAUAUGUGUAACAAGAGUGCCCAUUAUUGUUAGAAGAUGUGUUGGCUAUCCGUGGCAAGAACCAGCUAUUAGGAUCCUGUAAUUCUGUUAAUUUAGCGCCUAGCAUGUAUACAUGCUGCUCAUGCCAUCUUCACAUAGAAGUGCCACACGAAUGCU